UGUACUUGAAUAUGAUGAAAUGAGUGUUGGUAGGGACAUCUGAUUGCUGAUGAAAUGCCAACCUCUCUGAAUUGUACA